rnacentral:rRNA from 1 species
CAGUCGCCACGGUAAUAGGAAGGGGGCUAGCGUUGCUCGGAAUGACUGGGCGUAAAGGGCGCGUAGGCGGCGGCCAAAGUCAGGCGUGAAAUUCCCGGGCUCAACCUGGGGGCUGCGCUUGAUACUUGGUUGCUUGAGUGGGGAAGAGGGUCGUGGAAUUCCCAGUGUAGAGGUGAAAUUCGUAGAUAUUGGGAAGAACACCGGUGGCGAAGGCGGCGACCUGGUCCUUUACUGACGCUGAGGCGCGAAAGCGUGGGGAGCAAACAGGAUUAGAUACCCCGGUAGUCCCUGUCUCUUAUAC